CCUGGAGAAUGUGCAAUCGACCCGCAGAAGCGCAAGCUUUUUUGCGGGUAGGAAAGUCCAGGCAGCAGGAAGCAGGGUGAUCCAGUUAAAUCUGGAUACGCGAAAGCGCUAGUCAGAGCAACAGAGACUAUGUCGGGUCAAAAACCCUAAAGGUUUAAGACUACGAGUGAAAAGUCCCGCAGAGCGGGAUCCCGCGGAGCUUUAUGUAAAGUGGGAGGCAAUCCUCCCCGCUGCAACCUCCGAAUUGGUCGUUUGAGGACGCUUCCCCGAGACCUAAAGUGAGGGCUUAGAUAGAUGAUUGCAAUAAACAGAACCUGGCUUACUAUUCUCCAGGAAAU
rnacentral:RNase_P_RNA from 2 species